GCCAGAGCUGGCGUUGGAGAAGCAGCAGGCUGUGAAUCGUGGCUUGAAACAACCCUGAGGACAGCAGUUCCAGAAGGGCUUGAUGAAGCGAUGUUAGAGAGGAUAAGAGACAUGCAAAGUCACUUAACCGGAAUAAACUGUUUGCCAUCAGCUACUUUGUACCACGACAGAUUUGAGAAGUGGGUAUCCUUUCUAUACCCAUGUUACAGAUGAAGAAACCAAGGCUCAGAGUGGGAAUAAGAGACUUGCCCCUGCGCACCCAAAAGGGGUCACGAGGCUGGUCUGCAGACGACCCCCAUGAGAGUGGAGCCUUUCAAGUGAGUGAAGACAGUGCUGAAGCUCUUCCUCCAAUAGAAGAAAUGGAUCAGCUGUGUGGCAUUUCAUUGUUGAUCUUCAUCACCGUUGUCAUCAAGCCGGCAUUUUUCAGACAUUUCCUAUGUGCUAGAUGCUAUUCAAGUGCUUACCCUAUGCCAUUUAAUAUAUAUUUUUUAAAGAUUGAUUUAUUUAUUUUAGAGAGAGAGAGGGAGAGGGAGCGCUCAAGCAUGUGUGUGAGCAGAGGGAGGGGCAGAGGGAGAGAAGAGAGGCAGAGAAGCAGACGCCCCGUGGAGCAUGAAGCCCAAGUCAGGGUUCAAUCCCAGGAUCCUGAGAUACGACCUGAGUCAAAACCAAGAGUUGGAGGCGCAACCGACUGGGCCACCCAGGUGCCCCUCUGCCAUUUCAUUUUAAAGCUCUUCACCUCCCUGCGAGGUGCGGUGGGGCUGCUGGCCAUGCAGCACCGGUGGGUGAAUUCCCAUCCCGGGAGGAUGCAGACAUGACUGGCUUGCCAAGCUGAUAGGGGAUGGAUUUCAAGGGGCACCAAGCAGAUAGGUGUCCUUGGUUGGGCACCUUACUGCAACUCCCAGUCUGCACAACCCUGGUGCCCUUGGAUGACAAAUGUCACGAUCCCCAUUUUACACGUGAAGAAACUAGGCCGAAGGCGGUACUUGCCCAGUUAGUGGCCGAGUCAGAAGUCAAAACUGCCUGAGUCCCCAACCACCAGGAUUCACCAUGACAUCACAUUCCUAACCACUCCAUUUUAUAAGCAUACAUUGUGGCAUUGUUGGGGGAGAGAGAAGGGGUCCAUCUCUGAAGAUGCCUUUCAUUAAAACCUUGUAAUUACCCAACUUGUGUAAAAAGAAGAUAAUUUGCUACAGGUUUAAAGUCAUCAGUGGAGUGAGAAAAAAAAAAAAAAACCCAACACAAACCCCAAACUUGUAAAUAUUAUUAGCUGUUCUCCAACUUUGUUGAAUUUAGCUAAUGUUUUCGGUGUUGACUUUCCCAGCUAUCAGCUUAGCUAUAUAAAUCCAGUUGACGUGUCUUUAUUCAGAUAAAACUCUAAUACUGCAAGUGUAGCAAAUUAGAUGCAAAUGCCCCCUUUUUAUUUUAAGUAUACUUAAAGCUGCCUUUCCAAUGCAAAUUUCAUAGGAAAUCUCAACCAGCUAGGACAGACAUCUUAGCUGUCAGCAGGCAAAUGCUUUCAUUUCGGUCUCAGGCAAGGGAGCUGCCUGCUUUUUUUCUUUUUGCCCCUGCAGACUGAGAUAAUUAAAACUAUAGAGAAAUAGUUUUAAA